ensembl:snRNA U6 U6 spliceosomal RNA
GUGCUCGCUCCGGCACUCUUCUACUAAAAUUGGAAUAGAGAGGAGAUUAGCUUGGGCCCUGCGCAAGGAUGACACGAAAAUUCGUGAAGCGUUCCAUAAUUUU